rnacentral:lncRNA from 1 species
UCAUCAGCAAGAUUAAUGAGACCUGGUGUCUGAAACUGUGGAUUCCAUUUUGCAGCCACUAUUUCCUCUGCACUCUUCCCCACCCCCUCACAUCUAUUUUUUCUUUUUUCCUUUUUUGAUAAAAUAAGAUUGUUCGUUUAUUACCUAAGUAUUAUGAAAUGCCAGAGGCUGAGGCUCUGAAGCCUGAACAGUUCAAAUAUCAACUCAUAUUUAAUUUUGAGAUGAUCCGGGCAUUGCUGUAUUGUGUGAGCCAUCAGAGGCAGCGGUACUUCUUUUUUCUUCCUUGGAGGACUUUAUGCUGUACAGAAUGGGAGUAA